GACGAACGCUGGCGGCGUGCUUAACACAUGCAAGUCGAACGGAAAGGCCCUGCUUUUGUGGGGUGCUCGAGUGGCGAACGGGUGAGUAACACGUGAGUAACCUGCCCUUGACUUUGGGAUAACUUCAGGAAACUGGGGCUAAUACCGGAUAGGAGCUCCUGCUGCAUGGUGGGGGUUGGAAAGUUUCGGCGGUUGGGGAUGGACUCGCGGCUUAUCAGCUUGUUGGUGGGGUAGUGGCUUACCAAGGCUUUGACGGGUAGCCGGCCUGAGAGGGUGACCGGCCACAUUGGGAAUGAGAUACGGCCCAGACUCCUACGGGAGGAAGCAGUGGGGAAUAUUGCACAAUGGGCGGAAGCCUGAUGCAGCAACGACGCGUGCGGGAUGACGGACUUCGGGUUGUAAACCGCUUUCGCCUGUGACGAAGCGUGAGUGACGGUAAUGGGUAAAGAAGCACAGGCUAACUACGUG
rnacentral:rRNA from 1 species